rnacentral:lncRNA from 10 species
CCAGACUGGAGUGCAGUGGUGUGAUCUCGGCUCACUGGAAGCCCCGCCUCCCAGGUUCACGCCAUUCUCCUGCCUCAGCCUCCCAAGUAGCUGGAACUACAGGUGCCCACCACCACGCCUGGCUAAUUUUUUGUAUUUUGUUUAGUAGAGACAGGGUUUCACCAUGUUAGCCAGGAUGGUCUCGAUCUCCUGACUUCGUGAUCCGCCCGCCUCAGCUUCCCAAAGUGCGGGGAUUACAGGCGUGAACCACCACGCCCGACUGACUCUGGUUAUCUUUCUAUACUCAUUGCCUAUUACUUUGCUCCAGAUAACUGCAUGCAAAGGAGGCUUCUACCUCAGGGCCUUUGUACUUGCUGUUCUUCCACUUGAUUGAGGAGGUCUUUCUUGCCUAUCUCUCCUCCCUGCUUCUUCUGUUACCUUAAUUACCCAUAUAUAUAUAUUUUUUUUCAAUUACUCAUGUAUUUGACUUUUCUAAA